rnacentral:tRNA from 1 species
UUAAUUGAAACCAAAAAGAGGUAAGUUAUUGUUAAUAAUUUUAUUGAAUUUUAAAUUCCAAUUAAA